GAAGAAUUUGAGUUUCAAAUUUCUAGUUCAGUGGGAAAACAAUUUGAUAAGAUCAUUAUUGAAGGUGAAGGUGGUGAAGGAGUAGAAGGGGUUGAUGCGAUCCAAAGUGGCCAUGUUAGUGAUCCUGGAAUUGGUAAAGCAGUAUCUUGGGCAUCACCUAAACUUAAACGCUCCUGCUCUAAUUUGGAAACCAGGGAUGUGCACAGAAAUUUAUCUCAUCAGUUGCCUCCUCAAAAGUCUCAGUCUUUCGAAAAACUGCAAGAAUUGGCAGACGAAAUGAGGGGCUAUGUUGAUCCAGGCAGUCCAGAGUCUAUUAUGACCCAUCGCAGUGCUGAUAAAGUCAUGUUGAAGAAGCGUUCUUCGAGCCAGAUUCUUCCUUCCAGAAGUAGAAGGUUGUGGUGGAAGUUGUUCCUGUGGAGCCAUAGGAACCUGCAAAAGCCGUGGACUACCAAGGCUCCUCCCGCCAGCUCUGCUUUCAACCAGCAAGGUGGGUAUUGCUCUGACAAUUUUGAGCCGAACAGAGCAGCAGGGAAAAGUAUGAUGGAAUCACCUGGAUCAUUUACUGAGGAAACCUGGACCAAAGGGCCGAGUAACAAGAAAAGCGAUGAUCAGGAUCAGGAGAAUUUGUGUAAUGGAGUCUCAGGUUUAUGGCCACAAAAUCAGUGGGUUGCAUUUUCAGCAGAAUCGUCUUCCCUAAGAAGAGUGGAUGAGUGGGUGAAGGAUCUUCGGAUCGAACCGUGUCUUUCAAUCGAUGAGGUUGGGGGUGACAAUGAUCCAGAUACUUUCUUCCCACCCUCUCCCGAGAGGACUGCAACUCAUACGCCCCGACGUGGAGAACCCAAUCUGACCGAAGAGAUUUUGUAUGCGAAUAGCGUCAUCCAGUCGUUGAAUUCUUCCUCGACCGUGGCUCACAUCUCUGGUAUUGGCUUAAAAGCCAUACCCACAAUCUCACACCUAUCCGGUCUUAGAUCUGUCAAUUUG
rnacentral:misc_RNA from 1 species